UUAUAUAACUUAUAUAUGAAACACGCUUACACCGGAAAUACUCCCGUAUUGCGUACCAGUAUCCAUGCUCCAUACGAAUAUACUUUGUAUAUAGGUUUUAUCUAUAGAAUGGAUACUGCUAAAUAUGUGUAUGUGGACUUGUGUUGUUUCUACUCAAUUUGUACUUGCUUACUUAAUAUAUUCUCCCAAUUUUGUUCCCUCCUGUUUGCCUCCUCUGCCCUCUCGCCCCCUCUCGCCCAUAAAUGUGUCUGUUUAAUUUUGUGUACCGACAUAUUUUGAAUUUGAUAAUUUUGCAUUUACUACUUAUAUGCGUACAGGGGUUUUCUGUUGGGUAUGUUCCGCUGGGCAGUCGACUUGGUGGCAUGAUUUGCCCAGUCCUGCUUAGUCAAUGUGGCAGUAGAAAAAAGAACUUAGCAAAGUUAGCUAUCAAAGGUUACAAUGAAGAAAACGGCAGCACAUACAUACAAGUUUGUCAAGCUCAUUCGAGUAAAUUUCAGUGCCGUUGGCGGUGUGCUGAAUUUUAUAACCUUUCAGGCCAAGGAUGGGAAGCCUGGUUCUCAUCCCCAGAACUUCCAGACUCGGGUGUACCAAUGUAUAGAAAAGACAGAGGUCCAAUUCUGCAGGCUUGAACAAAAGAAAUCCACGCUACCUGAAGUUUAACUACUGCAGGUAGUUUAUUAGAAUCAUUGGAUUUCGAGUAUGGUAAAGUAGCUCCUGGGUGAGGAACAACUCCAUUCCUUAUAAAACGGCAAGGAUGCGCACGAAUACUAUAUUCGCUUUACCUGAAAGUAACUAUUUCAUUUUUCUGUCUCCUGCACAUGAAAUUUGUACAUAAAUCUAUGUUUAAAAUGAAUAAAGUUUGUGUUGCAUCCAAAACAACACUAACUGGAAUGCAUCUUUGACCGAAUUUUUUCUUUGCGCUUGGCUAUUAUUGUCGUAAAAUAGAACAUUUACAUGAACCGCUAAACUCAUGUAGCAUAUAUAAUGUAUCUGCGAAAAAAGAAAAAGAGAAAUGCCUGAAUGUUUAAUAAGGCAACAUA